UACAGAGGGGGGCGAGCGUUUAUUCGGAAUUAUUGGGCGUAAAGGGCGCGUAGGCGGCUUUUCAAGUGACGGGUGAAAUCCCUCGGCUUAACCGAGGAACUGCCUGUCAGACUGGAAGGCUUGAGACCGGGAGAGGUGAGUGGAAUUCCCAGUGUAGCGGUGAAAUGCGUAGAUAUUGGGAGGAACACCAGUGGCGAAGGUGGCUCACUAGACCGGUAUUGACGCUGAGGUGCGAAAGCGUGGGGAGCAAACAGG
rnacentral:rRNA from 1 species